rnacentral:rRNA from 1 species
UACGUAGGCAGCAAGCGUUGUUCGGAGUUACUGGGCGUAAAGGGUGCGUAGGCGGUCCUAUAAGUAUGGUGUGAAAUCUCCCGGCUUAACUGGGAGGGUGCGCUAUAGACUGUGGGACUAGAGUGUGGGAGAGGAAAGUGGAAUUCCUGGUGUAGCGGUGAAAUGCGUAGAUAUCAGGAGGAACACCGGUGGUGUAGACGGCUUUCUGGACCAUAAACUGACGCUGAGGCACGAAAAGCGUGGGUAGCAAACAGG